GACGAACGCUGGCGGCGUGCUUAACACAUGCAAGUCGAGCGGUAAGGCCCUUUCGGGGUACGACGAGCGGCGAACGGGUGAGUAACACGUGGGUGACCUGCCCUUAGCUCUGGGAUAAGCCUGGGAAACUGGGUCUAAUACCGGAUAUGACCUCAUGACUCAUGUUGUGGGGUGGAAAGCCUUGUGCGGCUAGGGAUGGGCCCGCGGUCUAUCAGCUUGUUGGUGGGGUAAUUGCCACCAAGGCGACGACGGGUAGCCGGCCUGAGAGGGCGACCGGCCACACUGGGACUGAGACACGGCCCAGACUCCUACGGGAGGCAGCAGUGGGGAAUCUUGCGCAAUGGGCGAAAGCCUGACGACNGCGACGCCGCGUGAGGGAUGACGGCCU
rnacentral:rRNA from 1 species